rnacentral:piRNA from 1 species
UGGCCUAGGUUAGAGAAAUAUCCAGUGCU